GCAAGUCGAACGAGAAAGUCACUUCGGUGGCGAGUACAGUGGCGCACGGGUGAGUAACGCGUGGGUAAUCUGCCCUUAGGUUUGGGACAACUCCGGGAAACUGGAGCUAAUACCAAAUGAGACUACGACGUCCUCGGACGAUGUAGAAAAAGGUGGCCUCUUCUUGAAAGCUAUCGCCAAAGGAUGAGCCCGCGUUCCAUUAGCUUGUUGGUGGGGUAAAGGCCUACCAAGGCUCCGAUGGAUAGCUGGUCUGAGAGGAUGAUC
rnacentral:rRNA from 1 species